rnacentral:lncRNA from 1 species
AAUUAUGAAAAGCACAUAUCACAGGUGCAGUUAAGGGUAAGCAGUGUUACAGAUGAAAAACACAAUUUAGUGUGUACAAACAAAGCAUAUGUGAAGUUAACACCUAAUGGUGUUAACCAAGGUAGUUGAAUUGAAUCAAGUGGCUCCAAAAAACAUGAAAAAUAUAGAAAACUACAACAUGCACUGAGUAUAGUGAUUAAGGUUAAUCUCACGUUUUUGGCUGCGGAGCUGAAAGCCUCCCUCUAGCUGAUAUUUGGAUUACUAGCCUUAAUCUUUUAGAUUUCCUCCCUGCAAAAUCAGACACUUGAAAAGACUUGUUAUUUGUUUUUACUCAAUGGAAUCAUCUUUAAAGAUUUUGGUUAUGCGAACUGCACUCUCACCAAUAGGCCAAUAAUUAUGCAAGACAAGUUAACCAAAUUAAUUUACAAGUUUUAUACGAGAUAUAUCAAAACAUGUUAGGUCAACCUGCAUUGUCAUCUUUAAAUAAAGAAAGUGAUAACUCAUAAAAAAAAAUAUUCCUUUCUUUUUCUAUAAAGAACACUAAAUUACACUUUAAAACUAAUAUAAAAUGUAAACACAAUUGAAUUUACAGUAAUCUAAAUUGAAAAUUUGAAUAGUAAAUGUAAUCAGAAAAUUAUAACACCGAUUAAAAUCCGAAAUGAAGAGCAGUAAAGAAAAUCAAGUAUUGAAAUCAUCAUUGACUAGAAAAACCAUAUUAUCUGUCACAACCAAAUCAAAAUUUUAUCAAUUUGAAAUUUGAGUUGCAAUUGAAUCAGAAUCACCAUGAAAUUGAAUUGGAGAUUUCGGAAUUUAAGAAACCAGAAACAGUGAAAUGAACGUAAGAAAAUUAAGACAGAAAGGCUAAAGCAUAAGAGAAUCUGAAUGCAUAUAUGAAAGGAAAUGAAUGCUAAGAAAUAAAAAUCUUGAAUGGCACGAAUGCAUUGAAAAUAGAAUUGCAAACAUGAAGAAAUUGAAUCUAAUAGAAAGAUUUAAGAAAACAAAAAUUGAAAAGCAAGUAAAUCAGAAAUUGAAAUGGAUAAUAUUGAAAACCGUAUAUUAACUGCAGAAAUGAGAAACAGAAACAGAAAAUACAAAAUUUUGAAAGUAAAAUUUAACUGGAACUUGAAUUGGAAUCCUGAGAAGACUGAAGCAAAUAGUGCAGAAUUGAAAACCAAUGUGAAAACAUAAUGACUGAAAAAACUGGAUCAGAAACAGUGAAUGAAAACAAAUGGUUGGGAUCCUUUUUUUCUUUUUUUUUUUGAGCUGGAGCAGAUUUAACUAUGAACCUAUAGCAACCCUUGUAUACAUAACUAACCAUAGAUCAAACAAAGACCAUCAAAAGGAGCCUACAGGACUGCCUAAUCAACAGCUAAAACCAAACAGAUUAUAAAGCUAAUAACCGUACUGGCUAUAAGCUUUUCAAAUCUCCCAGGCCUCCACACAUAAACCAUCCUUUACUGUAGCCUAUGAUCAAUUGGUUAGAAUUACUUCCUACAUAAAUGCUGCUCUAAAGGACUUGAACCUGCAGUAUAAAGUUACUAGAAAUCUAGCAGCUUUUGGACUCAAGCCACCAUAGCGUCAUGAGCAGCAAGCAUACCCUUUCUUACACAUGUACUAUUUGGACUCAGAUUCUAACAUCUCCCAGCCUCUCUUAUUCCAAGUACCAUAAACCAGCUCCAUGCUAACAUAAACUUAACUCACCUUUGACCCUGCACUCCCCUCUUUCAAGCCACCAGAACUUGACAUACCAAACUUCUGUUCCUCCAACAAAGGCAACCUUACAAGCAGGACAACAACACACCAGCAGAACCACCACUUCAAUUAAGCCUUACCUCUCUUGCCAACACCCUACUCCCAUCACCAACUUCCGGCCGUACCAGGAACCUCCAAUCUAUUCCAAAAUAGCCUGCAUAACAACCAGACCAUCCACCUCUCCUCACCCUUUGGCUAAAGCUUUGAACUCUAGUACCACCAAAGAUAGGAGAGCCACAUACUGCACCUGCAAAGGCCACGCCGCCCCCUUCAGUCUGAAUUGGCAUCAACAUAAAAAGAGCCCUUUCCCCAGCCUUACUUCUUCCAAUCCACCCAGACCAUCCCACUCAUACUAUUCAAUUCAUUUUUUUAUUAUUUUACCCAUUCUAUGUGCAUAAUUCUACCCUACAAUAAUUUUGUCAAUGCGUACACUUCAGAUUUAACACAAUGAGCCAAGAAGCACAAAUCUAAAAAUAAAGUUGAUAGUAUCGAAAGCGUAAAAUGUCACAAUCCAAACGAAGUUACUAGACCCCAGAUUUAACAAAAUCCUCAACAUUUUUAUUUCAGUCAAGCGUUAGGGAUUAUGCUUCAACUACUGAUUCAAAUAAGCAUUUGCGAACACGACACGAGCAACUCAGAAAAUCAAUGCCAACCGAAGAAAUCGACAAUGGAAACAGAGAAAGGAUAAUGAAAAAAAGAGAAAAAUCGAUGGUGAUGACGGUGGUGUUGCGUUCGCCGGAAAGAACAAUGGUGGUGGAGCGUAUAGGGGCGUGAGAGAGAGAAUAUGUACUGAGAAGAGGAAGAAGAAACCAAUUACCGUGGUGAAGCAGUAAAAGCAGGUCCGUGGUGGAGGAGGAGAAACAGGUCCGUGGUGGAGGAGGAGAAGCUCUGUGGUAGAGGAUGAGAAGUAGCUCUCCGAUGGAAGAGGAGAAUAGCUCUACGGUGGAGGAGAACAAUAAUGAGUUUUUUAGUCAAAAGUUGAAAAAAG